UACGUAGGUGGCAAGCGUUGUCCGGAAUCACUGGGCGUAAAGCGCGCGCAGGCGGCGAUCUACGUCUGGGGUGAAAGCCCGGAGCUCGACUCCGGGACUGCCUUGGAUACGGGAUCGCUUGAGGAUUGGAGAGGCAAGGGGAAUUCCACGUGUAGCGGUGAAAUGCGUAGAUAUGUGGAGGAACACCUGUGGCGAAGGCGCCUUGCUGGCCAAUUUCUGACGCUGAGGCGCGAAAGCGUGGGGAGCAAACAGG
rnacentral:rRNA from 1 species